rnacentral:rRNA from 1 species
UUCUGGUUGAUCCUGCCGGAGGCUACCGCUAUUGGAGUUCGAUUAAGCCAUGCGAGUCGAGAGUCUUAGGGACUCGGCGUACCGCUCAGUAACACGUGGGUAACCUGCCCUAUGCUGGGGAAUAACCUCGGGAAACUGAGAAUAAUACCCCAUAGUUCACCACGCCUGGAACGGUGGGUGGAUGAAAGCUCCGGCGGCAUAGGAUGGGCCUGCGACGUAUCAGGUUGUAGGGGGUGUAACGUACCCUCUUGCCAUCAACGCGUACGGGUGUUGGGAGACAUAGCCCGGAGAUGGAUUCUGAGACACGAAUCCAGACCCUACGGGGUGCAGCAGGCGCGAAAACUUGGCAAUGCGAGCAAUCGUGACCAGGGAACUCCAAGUGGCUGGGGUAAUACCCAGUUUUUUCUUGACUCUUCAAAGGUCUUGGAAUAAGGGGUGGGUAAGGACGGUGCCAGCCGCCGCAGUAAUACCGGCGCCUCAAGUGGUAGUCGCUUUUAUUGGGCCUAAAACGUCCGUAGCCGGUCUGGUGCAUUCGUGGGUAAAUCAACCCGCUCAACGGGUUGAAUUCUGCGAGCACGGCCAGACUUGGGACCGGGAGAGGUGUGGGGUACUCUCAGGGUAGGGGUAAAAUCCUGUCAUCCUGAGAGGACCACCUGUUGCGAAG